rnacentral:ncRNA from 1 species
AUUUGAUUCUAGUUCUGGAUGAACGCUAGCAAGACAUAUGACACAUGUAAGUUAAAUGUUUAUAUUGAAUCUCAUAAAUUUAUAUAUAUUUUCAUAGCGAACGGGUGAGGAAAUACGAGAAAAUAUCUAUUUAAUAACAAGAAUGGUGAUAGAAAUUUUGUAAAUAGUUUUGCUCGUAAAGGAUUAGAUAGUUGGGGGGGUAAUAGCUACACCAAGUCUGUGAUCCUUAAUUGUGAUGAGAGUUUGAGCAAUCACAUAGGAACUGAGAAAUGUCCUACCCUCGGCAGCAGUGAAGAAUUUUGGACAAAUAGCGUAAGCUAGGUCCAGUGAUCUUGCGUGAACAACAUUUAUAAAUUUGGUUAUUUUUAAAAAUAAUGAUAAUUAUCUAUAAUAAGUUCUGACUAAUCACGUGCCAGCAGUCGCGGUAAGACGUGGGGAACAAGCGUUAUCCAUCUAAACUGGGCGUAAGGGAUAAGUAGGCGAUUAAUAGACAUCUUCCUAUAGGAGAUUAUAUUUAAUUAGAGUUCUAUUAGAAAAGGUUAGAAAUUUUAUAAUAGUUUUUACGAAUUAUUACUAUAAAAGAACUUCCUAAAACCACGGUAAAUUUUUAUAUAGAACUGACGCUGAGUUAUUAAAGUAUGGGGAGCAAACAAGAUUAGAGACCUUGGUAGUCCAUACCCUGAAUAAUAAGUAUUAAGUAUUUAUAAUUAUAAAUACUUUAGCUAACGCGUAAAUACUUCGUCUGGGGAGUACAGCUGCAAAGUUAAAACUUAAAGAAAUUGGCGGGAAUUUAUAUUAACGGUGGAACAUGUGGCUUAAUUUGAUAGUACGCAAAAAAUCUUACCGAUAUUUUGGGUUUAAUUGAUUAAACUUGAUUGGUUUUGCAUGGCUGUCGUCAGUUCGUGCCGUGAGGUGUAUGGUUUAGUCCUUUACGAACGAGAUUCUCUUUAUUGUAAAUUGAUAGUAUAGGGAGUGACGUCAAGUCAGUAUGGACUGCAUAUAUUGGGCUGCACAUGUGUUAUAAGGGCAGUUAUAAUGAGUUACGAUAAUGUAAGUUGGAGUAAAUCUAUAAAAAUUGUCUAAGUACGGAUUGUUUUUUGUAAUUUAGGGACAUGAAGUUGAAAUCGUUAGUAAUCAUGAAGAAGUGCGUUAUGGUGAAUAAAUAAUUAAAUUCUGCACAUACCGCCCAUCAUGCUAGGGAAGUUAAGGUGAUUGGAUAGUUAUGGCCUCUGUUUAGGGUAAAGUUUAAUUCGGGAAUUUAGUUUAUUUUAAAUAUGUAACUGAAGAAUAGUUUGAUAACUUUAGUUAAGUUGUAACAAGGUACUGGUAGGGGAACCUGUUGGUGGAGUA